rnacentral:rRNA from 1 species
GACGAACGCUGGCGGCGUGCUUAACACAUGCAAGUCGAACGGAAAGGCCCUGCUUUUGUGGGGUACUCGAGUGGCGAACGGGUGAGUAACACGUGAGUAACCUGCCCUUGACUUUGGGAUAACUUCAGGAAACUGGGGCUAAUACCGGAUAGGAGCUCCUGCUGCAUGGUGGGGGGUGGAAAGUUUCGGCGGUUGGGGAUGGACUCGCGGCUUAUCAGCUUGUUGGUGGGGUAGUGGCUUACCAAGGCUUUGACGGGUAGCCGGCCUGAGAGGGUGACCGGCCACAUUGGGACUGAGAUACGGCCCAGACUCCUACGGGAGGCAGCAGUGGGGAAUAUUGCACAAUGGGCGGAAGCCUGAUGCAGCAACGCCGCGUGCGGGAUGACGGCCUUCGGGUUGUAAACCGCUUUCGCCUGUGACGAAGCGUGAGUGACGGUAAUGGGUAAAGAAGCACCGGCUAACUACGUG